CAUUAUCGUCAUGGGAUAGGAACAUUUGCCAAUUAAAAAUGCUAACAGUGGUUAUUAGUAUCAGGCGGUGAGAGUCCUGUUAGGUAACUAUCUCUCUAUAGGUGAAAGGCAAGUAAAAAAAAUUCGAUUGUGGUACCACCAGUGAGUGUCAUUAUUGUGUUGAUUGUCAGGGCUUGAGAACUUUCUCCAGGGGUGCGCCAGUCCAAUACCUCCUAGAAUAAGGAAGGCCUCAGCACGGGUUAACAUAAAUGAAAAAUCCGAUCCGUUGGUAGUCCAACGAAGUAGACCUGAAUGGCUGCCACAUUCUUCCAUUAGCAUUGGCGUCAUUCAUAGCUUUGAUUUUGGCGAAAUGGAAUUCCGGUGACCAUAACAGUCAUUCCCUUUGGCGCCGGUUCUUCCCCUUCCACGUGUUUUGUUAUUUUUAAUUCGUUUUCGUGAAGUUUUAAGUUAUGAUAGCUACUGUUGGAUUACAUAUUUGCAAUAUAUAUUAAUGUGUCAUGCCUUACCAUUGCUGUGCAGUAAACUGCAAAGGAAAUUAUGCUAACGGUCCAAAAGUUGCCGUAUUUAAUUUUCCCAAAGAUGAAGCUCAACAAAGACGUUGGCUACAAGCACUCUCACGGAAGGAUUUUAUCAUCACUAAGAAUUCUCGAGUGUGUGAGAAACAUUUUUCGUCGGAUGUCAUAGUUAAAGAAACGGUGAAAACUGACCCAAAGACUGGUGAAAUAAAACAAAAAUUGUUCAUCUUGUGAGAAAUCUAUCACAUUAACGGAUAUCGAAGAGAAAUUUAAUGUGAUAGAUGAUGUUGAAAACUCUUACAUUCAAACAUUAGACAGAGGUUGUUUGGUUUACCCUAAGCAAGAAAUUGUUGACAUAAUCUUGCACGCAUAUGUGGUAGUUCAAAAAUUAGUUUCUGAAGAGUUUGAAAGCUCAUUUCUACAAAUGCAUAAUCAUAAAGUUUUGGCUAUUGAAACUACUAUUAAUGUUUUGGAAAGAAAGGAAAUAUUCUUAAAUGACAAUCAAUGCUCUGCUCAUGAUUCCAGUUUCAUUGUUAAAUUUUUGGUAACUCGAGCCAUUAACACCUUUUUAAGCAAUUAUUGUAAAAAGCUAAAUGAUUCAAUUUUAACUGAACGACUUAAUAAAAAGAAAGCUAACUUAAACUUAAAAGUAACUCAAUCUAAAAUUGAACCAGAAACUAAGAAAAGAAAACUACAAACAUUAAAAUAAAGGAGCUGUUUGUUUUUUUCAACAUUAAAAUAUAGAAUCAAUUUUUGAUACAGCUUCUGUUUUUUAUUUGUAACUUUUAAGACAAGUAGCAUUAUAAUACUUUUUGAGUUUAUUUGAAAAAUAUUUUGUAUGACUAGACUAAUAAAUUAAUGUUUAAGUGGUCAUAUUUUUAAUAAGCUGAAGAGAUUUAAAAUGAAAUCUUACAUUGUUUCUAUAUUUGUAUUUGAAAUAAACAGUUUUGUUGCUUGUUUCAUCACUUUUCAUUUUUGAAAGCUGUGAAAAGCUAGUAACUUGUAAAUAAUUUUACUAUACUACACUAAUUUAAAAUUGUGUUCAAAUUUCAAUAAAGUUAAGGAUAUAACUUUAUAUCAGCUGUCUUAAAAAUGAAAAUUUGUUUUCAUAAAAAAUUUUACUCAAUGAUAAAAUUAUUUAUUAUAUAUAGCUUGUUUUAUGUAUAUAUUUAAAUGAAAGAAUAAUAAUAAAUGCUUACAUAGAUAAAUUGUCAAAUAAUAUUGUCUCAUUCCUUUAAAUAAAUUACAAAAGGUA
rnacentral:lncRNA from 1 species